AGUGAACGCUGGCGGUAGGCCUAACACAUGCAAGUCGAACGGCAGCACAGGAGAGCUUGCUCUCUGGGUGGCGAGUGGCGGACGGGUGAGGAAUACAUCGGAAUCUACUCUGUCGUGGGGGAUAACGUAGGGAAACUUACGCUAAUACCGCAUACGACCUACGGGUGAAAGCAGGGGAUCUUCGGACCUUGCGCGAUUGAAUGAUCCGAUGUCGGAUUAGCUAGUUGGCGGGGUAAAGGCCCACCAAGGGGACGAUCCGUAGCUGGUCUGAGAGGAUGAUCAGCCACACUGGAACUGAGACACGGUCCAGACUCCUACGGGAGGCAGCAGUGGGGAAUAUUGGACAAUGGGCGCAAGCCUGAUCCAGCCAUACCGCGUGGGUGAAGAAGGCCUUCGGGUUGUAAAGCCCUUUUGUUGGUAAAGAAAUCCAGCUGGCUAAUACCCGGUUGGGAUGACGGUACCCAAAGAAUAAGCACCGGCUAACUUCGUGCCAGCAGCCGCAGUAA
rnacentral:rRNA from 1 species